GGCUAACGUCGUGCAUGCUGCGGCGGUAGUAUGGAGGGGGCGAGCGUUGGCGGGAUUUAUUGGGCUGAAAGCGCGUGUAGGCGGCCCGGGAGGUCCGUUGUGAAAACUGGAGGCUCAACUGCCAGACGUCGAUGGAAACCGCCAGGCUAGAGUCCGGAAGAGGAGAGUGGAUUUCCUGGUGUGCGGUGAAAUGCGCAGAUAUCAGGAAGAACACCAAUGGCGAAGGCAGCUCUCUGGGACGGUACUGACGCUGAGACGCGAAAGCGUGGGGAGCGAACAGGAUUAGAUACCCGAGUAGUC
rnacentral:rRNA from 1 species